AUCUUAAAAAGUUUAUAUGAUGUUCCAUAUGUCCAUUGGUUUAUUGCUACUGUUUUGCUGUUCUGUCCAAUCGUGUUCUUCAAGAUUUAGCACGUGAAAGCCUUAUAUAAUUUAUUUCGAUGGUGUAUUAGUUUGAUCUUUUGAUUUUCAAUAGAAUAGUUCAUCUCUAAACCAAUGAUCUAGUUCUCAAGUUAUGAAUAUCUUUUGAUGUUAACUUCCGUAGGCAUGUGACACCUGCUAGUUCUAAUCAAAA
rnacentral:lncRNA from 1 species